GACGAACGCUGGCGGCGUGCUUAACACAUGCAAGUCGAACGGAAAGGCCCUGCUUUUGUGGGGUGCUCGAGUGGCGAACGGGUGAGUAACACGUGAGUAACCUGCCUUGACUUUGGGAUUACUUCAGGAAACUUGGGCUAAUACCCGAUUGGAGCUCCUGCUGCCUGGUGGGGGUUGGAAAGGUUCGGCGGUUGGGGAUGGACUCGCGGCUUAUCAGCUUGUUGGUGGGGUAGUGGCUUACCAAGGCUUUGACGGGUAGCCGGCCUGAGAGGGUGACCGGCCACAUUGGGACUGAGAUACGGCCCAGACUCCUACGGGAGGCAGCAGUGGGGAAUAUUGCACAAUGGGCGGAAGCCUGAUGCAGCAACGCCGCGUGCGGGAUGACGGCCUUCGGGUUGUAAACCGCUUUCGCCUGUGACGAAGCGUGAGUGACGGUAAUGGGUAAAGAAGCACCGGCUAACUACGUG
rnacentral:rRNA from 1 species